rnacentral:rRNA from 1 species
GAGAGUGGAAUUCCACGUGUAGCGGUGAAAUGCGUAGAUAUGUGGAGGAACACCAGUGGCGAAGGCGACUCUCUGGUCUGUAACUGACGCUGAGGCGCGAAAGCGUGGGGAGCAAACAGGAUUAGAUACCCUGGUAGUCCACGCCGUAAACGAUGAGUGCUAAGUGUUAGGGGGUUUCCGCCCCUUAGUGCUGCAGCUAACGCAUUAAGCACUCCGCCUGGGGAGUACGACCGCAAGGUUGAAACUCAAAGGAAU